rnacentral:rRNA from 1 species
AUUGAACGCUGGCGGCAGGCCUAACACAUCCAAGUCGCGCGGAUGAAGGGAGCUUGCUCCUGGAUUCAGCGGCGGACGGGUGAGUAAUGCCUAGGAAUCUGCCUGGUAGUGGGGGAUAACGUCCGGAAACGGGCGCUAAUACCGCAUACGUCCUGAGGGAGAAAGUGGGGGAUCUUCGGACCUCACGCUAUCAGAUGAGCCUAGGUCGGAUUAGCUAGUUGGUGGGGUAAAGGCCUACCAAGGCGACGAUCCGUAACUGGUCUGAGAGGAUGAUCAGUCACACUGGAACUGAGACACGGUCCAGACUCCUACGGGAGGCAGCAGUGGGGAAUAUUGGACAAAGGGCGAAAGCCUGAUCCAGCCAUGCCGCGUGUGUGAAGAAGGUCUUCGGAUUGUAAAGCACUUUAAGUUGGGAGGAAGGGCAGUAAGUUAAUACCUUGCUGUUUUGACGUUACCAACAGAAUAAGCACCGGCUAACUUCGUG